rnacentral:rRNA from 1 species
UACGUAGGGGGCGAGCGUUGUCCGGAUUUAUUGGGCGUAAAGAGCUCGUAGGCGGUUUGGCAAGUCGGGUGUGAAAACUCCGGGCUCAACUCGGAGACGCCACUCGAUACUACCAUGACUCGAGUCCGGUAGGGGAGUGCGGAAUUCCUGGUGUAGCGGUGAAAUGCGCAGAUAUCAGGAGGAACACCGGUGGCGAAGGCGGCACUCUGGGCCGGUACUGACGCUGAGGAGCGAAAGCGUGGGGAGCGAACAGG